CGGGACGGGUGAGUAACGCGUGGAGAACCUGCCGUAUACUGGGGGAUAACACUUAGAAAUAGGUGCUAAUACCGCAUAAGCGCACAGCUUCGCAUGAAGCAGUGUGAAAAACUCCGGUGGUAUACGAUGGAUCCGCGUCUGAUUAGCUGGUUGGCGGGGUAAAGGCCCACCAAGGCGACGAUCAGUAGCCGGCCUGAGAGGGUGAACGGCCACAUUGGAACUGAGACACGGCCCAAACUCCUACGGGAGGCAGCAG
rnacentral:rRNA from 1 species